GAUGAACGCUGGCGGCGUGCCUAAUACAUGCAAGUCGAGCGAACGGACGAGAAGCUUGCUUUUCUGAUGUUGGCGGCGGACGGGUGAGUAACACGUGGAUAACCUACCUAUAAGACUGGGAUAACUUCGGGAAACCGGAGCUAAUACCGGAUAAUAUUUUGAACCGCAUGGUUCAAAAGUGAAAGACGGUCUUGCUGUCACUUAUAGAUGGAUCCACGCUGCAUUAGCUAGUUGGUAAGGUAACGGCUUACCAAGGCAACGAUGCAUAGCCGACCUGAGAGGGAGAUCGGCCACACUGGAACUGAGACACGGUCCAGACUCCUACGGGAGGCAGCAGUAGGGAAUCUUCCGCAAUGGGCGAGAGCCUGACGGGGCAACGCCGCGUGAGUGAUGAAGGUCUUCGGAUCGUAAAACUCUGUUAUUAGGGAAGAACAUAUGUGUAAGUAACUGUGCACAUCUUGACGGUACCUAAUCAGAAAGCCACGGCUAACUACGUG
rnacentral:rRNA from 1 species